AACGAACGCUGGCGGCAUGCCUAACACAUGCAAGUCGAACGAGACCUUCGGGUCUAGUGGCGCACGGGUGCGUAACGCGUGGGAAUCUGCCCUUGGGUUCGGAAUAACAGUUAGAAAUGACUGCUAAUACCGGAUAAUGUCUUCGGACCAAAGAUUUAUCGCCCAGGGAUGAGCCCGCGUAGGAUUAGCUAGUUGGUGAGGUAAAAGGCUCACCAAGGCGACGAUCCUUAGCUGGUCUGAGAGGAUGAUCAGCCACACUGGGACUGAGACACGGCCCAGACUCCUACGGGAGGCAGCAGUGGGGAAUAUUGGACAAUGGGCGAAAGCCUGAUCUAGCAAUGCCGCGUGAGUGAUGAAGGCCUUAGGGUUGUAAAGCUCUUUUACCCGGGAUGAUAAUGACAGUACCGGGAGAAUAAGCUCCGGCUAACUCCGUGCCAGCAGCCGCGGUAAU
rnacentral:rRNA from 1 species